AAGGUGUUUGAUAAAAUGUGUAAGAUGGAUUGCUGGAAAGGUGUUUGAUAAAAUGCGUAUGAUAGAUUGCCGGAAAGAUGUAUGAUAGAUAACCGGAAAGGUGUUUGAUAAAAUGCGUAAGUAAGAUUACGCUUGUGAAGUGUUUGAUAAAAUGUGUGUGAUAUAUUGCACUUUGCAAGAAAGGUAUUUGAUUAAAUGCGUAUGGUAGAUCGUGUAAAAGGUGUUAUGAUAGAUUGUGCGAAAAGGUGUUUGAUAAAAUGUGUAUGAUAGAUUGCACGAAAGGUGUUUGAUAAAUUGUCUAGGAUAGAUUAUGCUAUAGGUAUUUGAUAAAAUGUCUAUGAUAGAUAGCACAAAAGGUGUUUGAUAAAAUGGAUAAUAGUAGUAAUUUUUUUUGUUUUUUUCUUCUAUAAUUCUCUAUCUAUAUACAUAUCUGUUUUUUCUCCGACUCUCUGUACAUCUCUUUCUCUCUGUGUUUCUCUUUGGAUUAGGAAAGUUUUUUAAUGUAGUUUGGCUUAAAUGGUUUUGCGAGCAAUGCGGAGACAUUAUAAAAACAAGAAUGGUUGGUGAGUUUCCUACUAUUAGAGCCAAAUAAUAUUAAUGUCCUAUGUUUUUUCAGAGUUGGGUGGUUUAUCCAUUCCCCAAAAAAAAAAAAAAAAAAAAAAAAAUUAUCCACUUAUGGUUGUAAUUUUAGUUUACCUAUUACUUGCAUAAAGUAAUAAACUUUUUGGAAGAGAUGUCCACUUUAUCAGGAGCGGAGGUAGAAACUUAGCUACGAGUUGAUUUAACUUAAUAGCUUUUGCUCAGACAGUUUAUAAGAGCCAAAUGUUACUAUUUCCUCUGUGUUUUAGAGUUUGGUGUUUCAUCCAUUGCCCAAAAAAAUAAAAAAAAAAUAAAAAAAUCCACUUCUGGUGUAUAUUUAUUUAAA